CACACCGGGCCCUUAGUUUUAUCAAUUGACACCUACUGCCGAACAUCAAAGCCACUCUCAUGUGUGUGCAGCUUUAAUUUCAAUCCUGGAUUCUCACGCAAAUGACAAACAAUUAAUUCCAUCAAUAGUUUAACACAUAAACACUGGUAGUGUUCCUGCUGACUCACCUUAAUUAUUACUACCCACGGUACACUAGAUGGGACCAUUCAUACGUUGAGCGUUUAAAAGAUUCAAGGUCAGCAUCGUUAAGGAUCACGUGUAUGAACACUUCCCACAGUUUGUAAUGAUGUCAAAAUACGGUAUCAAAAUCAAUUUAGAGGAACGAAAGAAUUGAUUUACUCUAGAGAAUGGAACUGGAACAAUGUUCACCUCACAAAAAACAUAUGUGUAUAUGAUAUGUUGACAGAGCCAUCGCUAGAGCGAGCGCAGCCAUGUGUAUAUGAGUGGAUCCAGAAAUUUCCCCACGGUUCUACCUAGCCCUUGGUUAGUGGGGUCGGACCACCCCCACCCCCCAUAUACGCGUGUCUGACACAGCCGCUACCAAUGGAAUUAACAUGAUUUAAACGAAACUGGAAAAAUUUGUAGUGUAUUGAAAAUCGCACUGUUUGAUAAUAGAAAAAUCACCAAGAAUUACUAUAGCGGUGAUUAUCGUGAAAAAUUAUCUAGUAAUCCCCACGCACAGGGUGUAUCAAUGAUGCAUUCUAAUUUCAUGUUUGACCCCCCCCCCCCCCCCAACAACUCCCCUCUUUUUUUCGUUGCUGUAAUGAACAUUAAUUAAUGUCAAAUGUUUUCAUGGACAUUUGUAUAAUUAUGAAUUUCGUUAGUUUUAAUCGUCAUGUGUGUGCAUGCUAAAUUCACCCUUCGACUCCUAAAGAUCCGCUACUGUUCCAAGUGUAACGUAGACCGUUGCGUCACACAUCUAUCAUUUUGUCUAGCCUGGUACCUGAGGCCUUCCUAUGUUCAAAGAACGAAGGGUUCUUUGAACAUCGGAAGGCCUCGGGUACCAGGUUAUCGUUUUGUCAUGGUAUUACAUAUGGGGCGACUUCGGUUAAUACGCGAGUACGAACUCGAAUUACAUGUACUGAGUGGCAAUCGAACUGUGAGAGUUUCAACUGUAAUGAAAGGCGAAGAUAACGAAUAGUGAUCAAUGUCAUAACUCCCACAAGGAAUACAAAAUAAAGAGUUGGGCAAACACGGAGUCCCGGACAUACCAGAGGUGGGACCAGGUGCCCAGGGGGAGCAAACAUCGACCGGUCACACCCGCCUUAAGCCCGAUGUAUUGAUCAGGUAAAUGGAGUAAUCCGUAGUAAAAAUCAGUGUACCAAGAACGGCCUAACAAUCGGUAUGAAACACGUCAAACAGCAUUUGACCCAAUGAUAGGUUUGAUGGGCAAUAUGACGUAUUGUGACAUUUGAACUCUACCCAAGUAACCCUGCCUUUCAGGAGGGUUAGUGUGGAAAGGAAAACCAAGAUGGCGGUGUGAUAUACCUUGUGAAUAGUUUCUUUAUACUUUAUACGAAGACAAUUUUGUCUUAUAGAUAUUCAAAACGUCGAGUGCCUGUAGUAGAAACAUGUCGGUCUUGGACUGCGCAUGUGUCAGUUUUCAAACGAUUGAUUACAAAAUAUUGGAACAGAUCAGAGAGCUACAGAUCCACUCCUUAUAAAAACCUUCAAUUUACGGCGCACACAAAAAUGUGCACUGUUGAUGCCUUACAUUGCCAUAUUCUUGCAUCGUCGUCUCAUCAAUUUUAUAUAGGAAAAUUCCUAACAUAUUUUCCUACUAUACUUGUGUCCAAAUAUACCUUCAACUAUUCGUUAAAGCCCCAAACCCGAAAACUCACAGCUUUAAAUGAAUACUGUUUAUGUUUUACAUGUUAUAUCUUCACUCUGCAACAUAAAAGACAGAUGUCAGAAAGAAAUAUCUCAGUAACCAGAUAGAUCGCCCAAGAAUCCAAUGUUUUCUAGCGAGAAUCCUGGGGACUGUACUCCUAUGUUUUGAUGAAAGCUGCAGGUUUGUGGUUUGUGACCCACAUCCUUGGGAGACAUCUUCCAUUCCCUACAUUCUACUGACACAGGUGUAUGUAAUUUACAUAGGAAGUUUUGAAAUAAUUAUUUAAAGGUUUAUAUCACAGAAAUUAUAAUGUAAAACAAAUAAACAUAAUACAAGCUCUUACAUGAAAGGUGAAGGUAACGAACAGUGACCAAUCUCAUAACUCCUAUAAGCAAUACAAAAUAAAGAGUUGAGCAAACACGGACCCCUGGAUAUACCAGAGGUGGGAACAGGUGCCUAGGAGGAGUAAGCAUCCCCUGUCAACCGGUCACACCCGUCGUGAACCCUUUCUGUAGUCAAAUUCAGUGUGCCAAGAACGGCCUGACAAUCGACAUGAAACACGUCAGACAGCAUUUGACCCAAUGAUAGGUUGUAUUGGCAAACAAGAUCGUUAUAACGACCAUAGAAUUUGCGAAAUGUUGGCUUUAAACGAGACUAUUGGAACUCCUGCACUAUCAACUUGUUUGUCAGAGGCCUGCUUCGAUUUAAAAACUAACCAUACGCAGAACAAGCUCUUGCGUAUGAUGUUUUAAGUUGGACAGUGGACUGAUCCCCAACUCCUUCGUUUAGAAUUUUUGUGAAGGAUUCGUAAAUUGAAAAAUAUUAUGUCUGAAAAUUUUGUGUAUUGAAUUAAAUCUGUAACAUUUUUUAAACAAAACAAUAUUCUUUCAGAAAUGAUUUGAAUUAUAGAUUUUAAACUUGCGUUUAUGCUUAGUUGUCGGUAUGUCCGUCAUUAUUGAAAUUCUGUGUCGAUAUAGAAUUGGGAUAACAUCUCCAAUUAUGCAAAACAAUACCCAACUUUACUUAAUUCCACAAAUCUCACCCCACCCCAACUCAAACAAAGAUACAUGUAGUUAUUUCAUGAGUAAAGGAAUUUUAACACGAGGCCCAUAAGUCACAUCGCUCACCUGAGUCACCUUGGUCCAUGUCUAAAGGUUUUCCCUAUAUAUAUUUGCAUGUAAAACUAUGAUCCCCAUUGUGGCUCCAAACUACCCCGAGGGCCCUGAUUUUUACAAACUUGAAUCUGCACUAUGUCAGUAAGCUUUCAUGUAACUAUAAACUUUUCUGACUCAGUGGUUCCUGAGAAGAUAUUCCCUAUAUAUUUGUAUGUAAAACUUUGAUCCCCUAUUGUGGCUCCAUCCUAUCAUAGGGGGCCGUGAUGUUAACAAACUGCACUAAGUCAGGAAGCUUUCAUGUAAAUGUAUUCUUCUCUGGCCAAAUGGUUCUUGAGACGAUUUUUAAAGAUGUUCCCAUAUAUUUGUAUCAUAGGCGCCUGGGUCAAGGAUAUUGCACUAUAUAACCUGUACGUAAAUAAUGGAGGAAAUUCGAACUUCAAAUAAAUAUUUCUCUCCGAUUUAUGGUGUCUUUUUAUACAUUUUUUCAUGUUUCAGGAAGCUUAAAUACAUGUAUCAUUAUCACAGAACACUAAUUUAUCCACGUUUUAAAAAAUGUCUUAUCCCACCGAUUCAUAAUAUAUAACAAGGCUCAUUCUCUCACCAGAGGGCGCGUUACGCAAGCUUGCGCACGGAACUCUGGGUAGAGAAUGAACAAGGCUUGCAACUCAAUCUACCCCUUUCCGUACCCCACGAGAGAUAUUUGUCGAUUAAAAGUUAUUUACACUGCUUACCAGCUAGUUUCAGGGCCCCAUUCACUCCCGGUAAUUCUUCUUUAAUGAUUACAAUACUCUAAAAACAACUGUCUAUCCGUUGUAUAUUUUUAAUAUUUUUUUCCCGUCCAGUCAUCUCAUUCAAAUCUCUAAUCACGGAAGUGCGUGAACAGUACAAAACUCGAAAAGGAAUAAGGGCUAUCCGAAUUAAUCACGAGUUCCGAAAGAUGCGAGAGCUAUGUAAAUCCCAGAGGAUAUCGAGAGUAUUGGUGCUCUAUCUAACAACAGCCUAAACUAUCAAGGUUUUAUGAAUUCCAAAACAAUGCGACAUAAAAAGAAAUGACAACAAAAUUAUACAGGUACCCAGAAGUGAACGAGGGGGUGAAGGGCCACAAAUUCUAUGGUCGUUAUAAUGAUCUUUAUUGCAAAUACAACCCCGUCGUUAGGUCGAAUGCUGUCAUGUGUUUCAUACCAAUUGUUAGGCCAUUCUUUAUAUAUACUGAUUUUGACUACGGAUUAUUCCGUUUACCCUAUGAAGAUGGAGGUUCACGGCAGGAGUGACCUUUCAACAUGGGAUACUUACUUUUCAUACCUCUGGUGUACCUGUAGCGGUCAGCCUGGUUCGAUCGCCGGUGGCCAGAUAGCUCAGUCGGUAGAGCACCUAACUAGAGAAUUUAGGUGGCCCGGGUUCGAAUCCCGGUCUGGUCCGUUGCAUUUUCUCCCUUCCUGUUGCAUUUGGUGCCGUUGACCACCCCUGGACUUUCAGGUGAAAGUCCUGCCAGGGUCAAAAAGAGUGUGGGUUGUGUGUCGUCGAGAGCGAAUUAAGACAAUUUAAGGAGGGAGGAAUGUAGCGGUCAGCCGGGUUCGAUCGCCGGUGACCAGAUAGCUCAGUUGGUAGAGCACCUGACUAGAGAUUCAGGGGGCCCGGGUUCGAAUCCGGUCUGGUUCGUUGCAUUUUCUCCCUUCCUGUUGCAUACCCGAGGAUCCUUGUUUGUCCUACUCUUAAUUUUGUAUUCUCUAUGGGAUUCCUCACUAUUCGUUGUCUUCAUUUUUCAUCAAGAGAUUACGGUAAUUGACAACUCUUUUAUGAUUUAUCUCUCUCAUACAGAUAUUUAACUCAUAAUGCUUGUCCCACGCUAAGUAAAGACCCAAUUUUUUAACACCCCAUACUGAUCCCUGAACUAUAUCGUCUUUAUCAUGGAAUAAAGAGUAAUAGCUAUAUAAUAAGAUAAUAAGUACACAUUUAGUUUUCCUCAACUUUUGAUAUAAAAAGCAUAUUAUUAUAUCGCUCGGAAAAGGUGCGCGUUUUCUUUUGUUUUGUUGAUUUUGUUGUUGCUGAGUUGCUGUGAACUUAAUUUAGAAUUUUAUAAGCUUGCUUUUCAUAAAAAAAAAUCGGUAUAAAA